rnacentral:lncRNA from 1 species
GGUUAAAAUGCAGCCGCUGCACAGCCAAAGCCGGAACUGUCAGGGAACUGAAGCCCCCUGGCCCUGAACCAAAUCCCGGCACAGGAAAGCCAGGCUGUUUCUUACAGGAAACCCCAUCCAGCGAAUGCCCACUGCUGCCAGUGCCUGUGCGCACCCCGGAGACGCAUCAGACAACCAGCAAAACCAGGCCCAUUGGACUUCACAGAUCUCUCCUGGUGCAGCCGGUUCGGAACCUUGUGGAGUUGGCUGCCUGCCCGAGAAACACAUGUGCAAUCCCACCCUUCCUCAACCAACCUACACACUGAAUGUACAUGCCAACUAGAUGCCACGUGAGUGAUAUACUCAGACAAGAGAGGAUGCUGUCCCUAUUUCCAGAUGCUUCGAGUAGGAGCUAAGGUGAAGGUGGUAAGUACCCAGGACCUUCUGGGUUCAGGCUCCCUGAAUGCCACUGUGGGUUAUCAAGCAAUCCUCUGCUGAGACUUACACUUCGGGGAAUGUCCAGAGGAAGAGCUCCACAGUCCUCCUUUGGCUCCCAGAAUUGGUACCAAGGUGUUCUCCAUCUCCAUCUCAAACACACCAAAAUCAGAGGACAUGCAGCUGUUUUAUAUCAGGUGGUCUAGAAUUUGCAUAUACCCUGCAAAUAUCCCUUUUAAUUAAAAUAAUCUCCAGAUUUCUUAUAAUUAAA